rnacentral:rRNA from 1 species
UCGAGAAUAUUUCGCAAUGGGGGAAACCCUGACGAAGCGACACCGCGUGAAGGAAGAAGGCCCUCGGGUUGUAAACUUCUUUUGGCAGGGAACAAGCCGCAAGGUUGAGUGUACCUGCAGAAUAAGGCGCUGCUAACUUCGUGCCAGCAGCCGCGGUAAUACGAAGGCGCCAAGCGUUAUCCGGAUUUAUUGGGCGUAAAGAGUUCAAAGGGGGUUAUGUUAGUCUGAUGUUAAAGCUUCCCGCUCAACGGGAAAAAUGCAUCGGAAACGGCAUAACUUGAGGAAAUCAGAGGCAAGUGGAACGGCCGGUGUAGGGGUGAAAUCCGUUGAUAUCGGCCGGAACACCAAAGGCGAAGGCAUCUUGCUGGGAUUUUCCUGACCCUGAAAGAACUAAAGCGUGGGUCGCGAAUGGG